GCUGAGACAGGAGGAUCAAUUCAAAGCCAGCCUCAGCAACGGGGAGGUGCUAAGUAACUCAGUGAGAUUCUGUCUCUAAUAAAAUACAAAAAUUGGGCCAGGGAUGUGGCUCAGUGGAUGAGUGUCUCUGAGUUCAAUCCCUGGUACCCUAUACCCCCACAAAAAACAAAACACUGGAGAAAAAAAUAAAUAAAACAAAGAGCUUCUAUUUACCAAUACACCAGAGAAAAACUGGGGGUAAAAAAAGAUAUUAGCAACACACAAAAGUGACAAUUAAUAUAGUGCACAACCUCCAAAACAAGCCUUUAAUAUUCCCUGCCUCCUGAUAAAACCCUGUGUUGUCCUUUCUCACACUGUACUAGGAUCAGUCAGUGUUACCAACAGCAUGGGGGCAGAGGUAUCGAUGUCACACCUGAGAUUAGUUAUAAAAAGACUGUAGCUUCUAUCUUGAGUUUUCAUUCUUUUGGAUCACUCACAUUUGGAAAAACAAGAUGCCACACUAUGAGCAUCCCUAUGGAAAGUUCCACAUGGUAAGGAACUGAAGCCUUCCAUCACUAGCCAGCAAGGAACUGAGGUCUGCCAACAAUCAUAAGAAUAAUCUUACAAAUGGAUUCUUCAUUCCCACCAAGCCUUGAGAUGAAUGCAAUCAUGUGAGAAACUCUGAGCUAAAAACCAUCUAGCUAUGUUACACAGU
rnacentral:lncRNA from 1 species